rnacentral:rRNA from 1 species
AGUCACUGACAUUAGAUACCCCUGUAGUCCAGGGUGUAAACGCUGCAGACUUGGUGUUGGAACCCUUCGGGGUGCUCAGUGCCGGAGAGAAGUUGUUAAGUCUGCUACUUGGGAGUACGUCCGCAAGGAUGGAACUUAAAGGAAUUGGCGGGGGAGCACCGCAACGGGAGGAGCGUGCGGUUUAAUUGGAUUCAACGACCGAAAAACUCACCAGCAGCGACUGUUACAUGAAAGUCAGGUUGAUGACCUUACUAGAUUUUCAG